GAUGGGCACUUCCUUCAUAGAAAUUUCCAACUUCUCCCCACCUGAAGAAACACUGCCAAAACUGACUGACUCGGUCUUCACAAUUGGUGACUGUUUCAAUGAAAAAAGAGUCCAACUCAGACUCGUCAGGCUUUUGAACAGUGUUUUUAGAUGACUUGCAGUCUAAUGGUUUUCGACCACUCUCCUUACAUCUCCUACGGGGCUUUGUUGAAGAUGCAAAGGGACUAGAUUGUGAGGAUGGUGAGGUAUGUAAUGGAUCUGUACCAAGCAAAGGUGGCUGAUGAAAAAGAAGAAAGAGCAGCAAACAAAGUGCAAGAGCAAAAGGACAAAAGAAAAUUGUAAUUAGUUAAUUUCCUCUGUAUAUAGAAAGUUAAUUACAUAAGCUU